AUUGAACGCUGGCGGCAUGCUUUACACAUGCAAGUCGAACGGCAGCGCGGGGCAACCUGGCGGCGAGUGGCGAACGGGUGAGUAAUACAUCGGAACGUACCCAGAAGUGGGGGAUAACGUAGCGAAAGUUACGCUAAUACCGCAUACGUUCUACGGAAGAAAGUGGGGGAUCGCAAGACCUCAUGCUUUUGGAGCGGCCGAUGUCUGAUUAGCUAGUUGGUGGGGUAAAGGCUCACCAAGGCGACGAUCAGUAGCUGGUCUGAGAGGACGACCAGCCACACUGGGACUGAGACACGGCCCAGGCUCCUACGGGAGGCAGCAGUGGGGAAUUUUGGACAAUGGGCGCAAGCCUGAUCCAGCAAUGCCGCGUGAGUGAAGAAGGCCUUCGGGUUGUAAAGCUCUUUUGUCAGGGAAGAAACGGCUGAGGUUAAUACCUUCGGCUAAUGACGGUACCUGAAGAAUAAGCACCGGCUAACUACGUGCCAGCCGCCGCAGUAA
rnacentral:rRNA from 1 species